UUCCCUGUAGCAAUACAGGGGAUGGGCGCACGGCGCACGGGUGAGUAACACGUGGGCAACCUGCCCUCCAAUGGGGGAUACCCCCGCGAAAGCGGGACUAAUACCGCAUGACAUUCCGAUGGCUUCGGCUGUUGGAUUCAAAGCCCGCAAGGGCGUUGGAGGAGGGGCCCGCGCCCGAUUAGCUUGUUGGCGAGGUAACGGCUCACCAAGGCUAUGAUCGGUAGCUGGUCUGAGAGGAUGGCCAGCCACACUGGAACUGAGACACGGUCCAGACUCCUACGGGAGGCAGCAGUGGGGAAUAUUGCGCAAUGGGCGAAAGCCUGACGCAGCGACGCCGCGUGGGGGAUGAAGCUUUUCGGAGUGUAAACCCCUUUCGACCCGGACGAAACACCCGCAAGGGUUUGACGGUACGGGUAUAAGAAGCCCCGGCUAACUACGUGCCAGCAGCCGCGGUAAUACGUAGGGGGCCAGCGUUGCUCGGAAUUACUGGGCGUAAAGGGUUCGUAGGCGGUGCGGUGUGUCGGGAGUGAAAUCUCUGGGCUUAACCCAGAGGCUGCUUCCGAAACUGCCGUGCUCGAGUGCGGGAGAGGCCAGUGGAAUUGCAGGUGUAGCGGUGAAAUGCGUAGAUAUCUGCAGGAACACCCGUGGCGAAGGCGGCUGGCUGGACCGCAACUGACGCUGAGGAACAAAAGCUAGGGGAGCAAACAGGAUUAGAUACCCUGGUAGUCCUAGCCCUAAACGAUCAGGACUUGGGGUGCAUCCCGUUGGGGGUGCGUCCCGUAGCUAACGCGUUAAGUCCUGCGCCUGGGGAGUACGGU
rnacentral:rRNA from 1 species